ensembl:snoRNA small nucleolar RNA, C/D box 19
GAGGUAUGAGGAAAACGUGAGCAGUCUGAUUUUCACUGAAGAUUGUUAAGAUCCAACUCUGAUCUCAAUAAAGCC